UACGGGGGGGGUAAGCGUUGUUCGGAAUUACUGGGCGUAAAGGGCGCGUAGGCGGGCUGACAAGUCUGGGGUGAAAUGCCGCGGCUCAACCGUGGAACUGCCUUAGAUACUGACGGCCUCGAGGAAGGUAGGGGCAUGCGGAACUGUAGGUGGAGCGGUGAAAUGCGUUGAUAUCUACAGGAACUCCGGUGGCGAAAGCGGCGUGCUGGACCUUUUCUGACGCUGAGGCGCGAAAGCUAGGGGAGCAAACGGG
rnacentral:rRNA from 1 species